rnacentral:rRNA from 1 species
GACGAACGCUGGCGGCGUGCUUAACACAUGCAAGUCGAACGGAAAGGCCCUGCUUGCAGGGUACUCGAGUGGCGAACGGGUGAGUAACACGUGGGUGAUCUGCCCUGCACUUCGGGAUAAGCUUGGGAAACUGGGUCUAAUACCGGAUAGGACCGCACUUGAGUGUGUGUGGUGGAAAGUUUUUUCGGUGUAGGAUGAGCUCGCGGCCUAUCAGCUUGGUGGUGGGGUAAUGGCCUACCCAGGCGGCGACGGGUAGCCGGCCUGAGAGGGUGUACGGCCACAUUGGGACUGAGAUACGGCCCAGACUCCUACGGGAGGCAGCAGUGGGGAAUAUUGCACAAUGGGCGCAAGCCUGAUGCAGCGACGCCGCGUGGGGGAUGAAGGCCUUCGGGUUGCAAACUCCUUUCGCUAGGGACGAAGCUUUUUGUGACGGUACCUAGAUAAGAAGCACCGGCUAACUACGUG